rnacentral:rRNA from 1 species
CGGGGUGCACCAGGCGCGAAAACUUUACAAUGCCGGCAACGGCGAUAAGGGAACCUCGAGUGCCAGGUUACAAAUCUGGCUGUCGUGAUGCCUAAAAAGCAUUGCAUAGCAAGGGCCGGGCAAGACCGGUGCCAGCCGCCGCGGUAACACCGGCGGCUCGAGUGGUAACCGUUAUUAUUGGGUCUAAAGGGUCUGUAGCCGGCCGGGUAAGUCUCUUGGGAAAUCUGGCAGCUUAACUGUCAGGCUUUCAGGAGAUACUGCCUGGCUCGAGGCCGGGAGAGGUGAGAGGUACUUCAGGGGUAGGGGUGAAAUCUUGUAAUCCUUGAAGGACCACCAGUGGCGAAGGCGUCUCACCAGAACGGACCUGACGGCAAGGGACGAAAGCUAGGGGCACGAACCGGAUUAGAUACCCGGGUAGUCCUAGCCGUAAACGAUACUCGCUAGGUGUCGGCCACGGUGCGACCGUGGUCGGUGCCGUAGGGAAGCCGUGAAGCGAGCCACCUGGGAAGUACGGCCGCAAGGCUGAAACUUAAAGGAAUUGGCGG